AUUGAACGCUGGCGGCAUGCUUUACACAUGCAAGUCGAACGGUAACAGGCCUUCGGGCGCUGACGAGUGGCGAACGGGUGAGUAAUGUAUCGGAACGUGCCCAGUAGGGGGGGAUAGCUCGGCGAAAGCCGGAUUAAUACCGCAUACGCACUGAGGUGGAGAGUGGGGGACCGCAAGGCCUCACGCCAUUGGAGCGGCCGAUAUCUGAUUAGCUAGUUGGUGGGGUAAAGGCCGACCAAGGCGACGAUCAGUAACUGGUCUGAGAGGACGACCAGUCACACUGGGACGCGGACACGGCCCAGACUCCUAGGGGAGGCAGCAGUGGGGAAUUUUGGAGAAUGGGCGCAAGCCUGAUUCAGCAAUGCCGCGUGUGUGAAGGAGGCCUUCGGGUUGUAAGGCACUCUUGUCCGGAAAGAAAUCGCUCUGGCGAAUAACUGGAGUGGAUGACGGUACCGGAAGAAUAAGCACCGGCUAACUACGUGCCAGCAGCCGCCGUAA
rnacentral:rRNA from 1 species